ensembl:lncRNA
AAAAGAAUGAAAUAACACCAUGUGUAGCAACAUGGAUGGACCUGGGGAUUAUCACACAAAACAAAUAAAAAAAAGGGGCUGUGUGUCUAAAUGACUCGAAGGAGAAACAACAAAAGGAUUCAAUGCUCCACCUGGAAGGAUCAACAGGAUCAUCCUAGGUAGGCUUUUCCCAGCAACAGGGAUUAGUGGCCAAGGCUGGACUCGAGAAGAGGUGAAAAGAGGAAUGGGAGAUUUCAGAGUUUCUACUUCCCACUGUUUAUCGCCCAAAGAACUGACCAAAUCUAAAAGUACAGCCUCUGUAUUAAGGUCAGACAGUAGUAAAGA